GCCAGGGUGGCGAAAUGGUAGACGCGAUAGGUUUAGGACCUAUUGAUCGCAAGAUCAUGGGGGUUCGAGUCCUCUCCCUGGCA
rnacentral:tRNA from 1 species